CAGCAGCCGCGGUAAUACGUAGGUGGCGAGCGUUGUCCGGAAUUACUGGGUGUAAAGGGCGUGUAGGCGGGAUGUCAAGUCAGAUGUGAAAUACCGAGGCUUAACUUCGGGGGUGCAUCUGAAACUGAUAUUCUUGAGUGUCGGAGAGGAAAGUGGAAUUCCCAGUGUAGCGGUGAAAUGCGUAGAGAUUGGGAGGAACACCAGUGGCGAAGGCGGCUUUCUGGACGAUAACUGACGCUGAGGCGCGAAAGCGUGGGUAGCAAACAGGAUUAGAUACCCUGGUAGUCCACGCUGUAAACGAUGGAUACUAGGUGUAGGAGGUAUCGACCCCUUCUGUGCCGGAGUUAACACAAUAAGUAUCCCACCUGGGGAGUACGGCCGCAAGGCUGAAACUCAAAGGAAUUGACGGGGGCCCGCACAAGCAGUGGAGUAUGUGGUUUAAUUCGAAGCAACGCGAAGAACCUUACCAGGGCUUGACAUCCCUCUGACUGGCUUAGAGAUAAGCCUUUUCUUCGGAACAGAGGUGACAGGAGGUGCAUGGCC
rnacentral:rRNA from 1 species